AGUCGUAACAAGGUUUCCGUAGGUGAACCUGCGGAAGGAUCAUUAAAGCGUUGCCGACGUCGGCCCCGGCCGUUCGGCUUGAAAUAUAGCCUGGACGGUGCUGGAGGUCGCCGGCAGUUGCCCAUUCUUGCCUACUGACCCAGUUGCCUCGGCGAGCCGUGCCACUCGUGGCAGACCGGAAGCCGUUUGAACCCCUAGGGCUCAGGCGGCCCUGGCCAGUGCCCGCCGACGGACAGACUUAAAAUCUUUAUAUAUUGGCCGUCUGAGCGUAUAAAGCAAAUCAAUUAAAACUUUCAACAACGGAUCUCUUGGUUCCGGCAUCGAUGAAGAACGCAGCGAAAUGCGAUAAGUAAUGUGAAUUGCAGAAUUCCGUGAAUCAUCGAAUCUUUGAACGCACAUUGCGCCCCCUGGUAUUCCGGGGGGCAUGCCUGUUCGAGCGUCAUUGCAACCCUCAAGCUCGGCUUGUGUGAUGGGCGACCGUCCUUCCCCUAGGGGCGGGACGCGUCCGAAAAGCAGUGGCUAGGCCGCGAUUCCGGCGCCUGAGCGAAUGGGACUUCCACCGCUUCUAGGACCGGCCGGCACUUGGCCUUUAAACACGGUCUUAACUGACCAUCUAGGUUGACCUCGGAUCAGGUAGGGAUACCCGCUGAACCUA
rnacentral:misc_RNA from 1 species